CAGAGCAGUUGGUCAUGGUAACAGGCAGAAUGAUCAUCUAUCAUCAUUGAAUCAGUUAAUUAAAAACAAAAGACAAUAAACCAGUUCUGUGAGAAACAAAGGAAACGGAUAUUAAACGUUGUGUUAGGCAUAGUCCCCCUGCCGUCUCCACUUAGCUGCUUGUGGACAGUGAGGACGGCUAUUUCUUAGUCGGACAUCUAGCCAUCUGCCACUCUCCC